rnacentral:rRNA from 1 species
AGCAGCCGCGGUAAUUCCAGCUCCAAUAGCGUAUAUUAAAGUUGUUGCAGUUAAAAAGCUCGUAGUUGAAUUUCGGGGUCUGUCCAUUGGUCGGGCUUCACGGUCCGUACUGGUGUGAUGGGUUCCUACCUUCUGAAUAACCAACAUGCCAUUCAGUUGGUGCGCCGGGGAAGCAGAGCUAUUACCUUGAAAAAAUUAGAGUGCUUAAAGCAGGCUAGUGCUUGAAUAGAUUAGCAUGGAAUAAUAAAAUAGGACGGCAUGGUUCUAUUUUGUUGGUUUCUAGGAUCACCGUAAUGAUUAAUAGGGAUAGUUGGGGGCAUUAGUAUUCAAUUGUCAGAGGUGAAAUUCUUGGAUUUAUUGAAGACUAACUUCUGCGAAAGCAUUUGCCAAGGAUGUUUUCAUUAAUCAAGAACGAAAGUUAGGGAUCGAAGACGAUCAGAUACCGUCGUAGUCUUAACCAUAAACUAUGCCGACUAGGGAUUCGGAUGAUUGUUAAUUUUUAAUGUACUCAUUCGGCUAC